GGCACGUGCGCCGGGGGCCGGCUGGGCGCGAGGGGAGGGAGGCCGGCGGGCCGGCGGGGGCCGACCCCGACCCCGACCCGACCCGACCCGAUCCACCCCGGAGCUCGGGCCUGGCCGGCUAGGUCUCGCCCCCAGCGCCCUGGCUGGGCUGCGUCGGCGAGAAGUCAAAAGAAUACAGCUCAAGGUGAUAGUAUGAAGCAGAUCUAUUUGGCAUCUGUAAGGCAUUGGAAGUUGCAUCUCUUGUGGAAGGAUCUAAUACCAUGAUCAGAAGAACUUUGGAUACGUCUUUUCACUGUGACGUUGCGGUAUACGCUUGACAAGUUUUGAAAAGAGAUUUUUCUACCGACUCUACCGACUAACAUUUCGUCUGUGAAGCCAGGAGUCUCCGUAAAGGUUAAAAAUAAUUCAGCUGUAUUGUGUUGAACUUGAUUGAAGUGUCGUGAACAGUGUCUGGAGGGCAGAAGAACCAGUUCUGUCUUGUUGCGAUGGGUUUAGUCUGUUUACUUUCCUGGUGCCCCGUCGCUGAAGCUGGGGCUGAGAGGCCUGCUGAGGAAUGUUUCUUCCGGAGUUCCGACAGGCUCAGCUAUUUGUCCCAGCCUCCGAAGCUGCUUGGCUACAGGCCCACACAAAGUGCUAUAAGAAUUCAGAGGACAGAGAGAACAUUUCUGGCAGUGGACAGAGUCCUGAGUGAGCACAGAACGCAUUAUGGAAUCUGGACAUGAGUGUUUGUUUCCUCCACUGAACUGUGAACUCCUCCUAGGUAGAGAUGAUGUGAUACACCUUUGGAUAUCUGUGUCUCCAAGACCUAAUGGUACAAUUUUGACACAAAGUUUUAAUGUGUGUCCAGAUUUUCUUAGAGCCCUUGCCUUGGAACUGCCCACCGCAAGAGUAUGAAGUCUGGGGAGCAGGCUCAGGGUCCAGGUGGAGCCAGGAGGAUGGCAGUGGCUCUAGGGUUGGGACCAAGAUGGCAGAGCAGGAAGAUCCUGAGCACACCUCCUCUCAUGGACACAGUAAAACUACAACUACAUAUAGAACAAUUAUCUUUGAGAAUGACCUGAAGACUAGCAGAACAGAUUUUCUACAACUAAGGAUAUAAAGAAAAGGCCGAAUCAAGACAGCCAGGAGGGGCAGAGUUGCAGUCUAGUCCAAACCUGCACCCCUGCUGUGGUGACCCACAGGUGGUAAGGAUGAUCACAACCACAGAGGCCUUGAGGAGGAGGGCUCUGAGCCCCACGUUGGGCUCCCUAGCCCAGGUGUCCUGCACUGGGAAGAUGAGCCUCAUAACGUUCUUUAUAUUAGAUAUAAAGAAACACAGACUGAAAGUGAAGGGAUGGAAAAAGAUAUUCCAUGCAAAUGGUUGAAAAGAAAGCUGGGGUAGCAAUACUUACGUCAGAGAAAAUAGUCUUUAAAACAAAUACUGUAACAAGAGAAAAAAAGGCACUUAACAUAAUGAUAAAGGGAUCAAUCCAACAAGAAGAUAUACAAGAAGAUAUAACACAUAAUGAUAAAGGGAUCAAUCCAACAAGAAGAUAUACAAGAAGAUAUAACACUUGUGAAAUAUAUGCACCCAACAUAGCAGCAUAUAAAUACAUAAAGCAAAUAUUAACAGACAUAAAGGGAGAUGUUGAGAGUAAUGCAAUAGAAGUAGGGAAUUUUAACAUCCCACUUACAUCAAUGGAUAGAUCAUCCAGACAGAAAAUCAAUAAGGAAACAUUGCCCUUAAACAACACGUUAGAGUAUAUGGGCUUAAUAGAUACAUAUAGAACAUUCCACCCCAAAAGAGAAGAAUACACAUUCUUUUCAAUUGUACAUGCAGCAUUCUCCAGGAUAGAUCACAUAUUAGACCACAAAGAAAGUCUCAAUACAUUUAAGAUUGAAAUCAUAUCAAGCUUGGGAGAUUGGGAUUGACAUAUAUACACUAAUAUGUAUAAAAUGGAUAACUAAUAAGAACCCGCUGUAUAAAAAAAUAAGUAGGGCUUCCCUGGUGGCGCAGUGGUGAGAGUCCACCUGCCGAUGCAGGGGACACGGGUUCGUGCCCCGGUCCGGGAAGAUCCCACGUGCCGUGGAGCGCCUAGGCCUGUGAGCCAUGGCCACUGAGCCUGCGCGUCUGGAGCCUGUGCUCCGCAACGGGAGAGGCCACAACAGUGAGAGGCCCACGUACUGCAAAAAAAUAAAUAAAUAAAUUUUAAAAAAUUAAAAAAAAAAAAAAGAGGCAGGAGGGUCAAAGUUAGAGAAGAUGCAAGGUUGGAAGCAGAGAUCAGAGAGCUGAAAAGAUGCUAAGCUGCUGAUUUUGAACAUGGAGGAAGGGGCCAUGAGCCAAGGACUGUAGAUGGCCUCUAGAAGCUGGAGAAGGCAAGAAAACGGAUUCUCAGAGCCUCCAGAAGGAAAGCAGCACUGCUUACACUUAACGGUCUCUACAUUUUUUAAGAUCAAUGUGGAGACAUUCAUUUGAAUAGAACUAAUAAAUAGGCUCUUGGAUUGUUUGAUAAACCAAUUAAUGAAAAGGAGGGAACUGUACGAACACACUGGGAGAAGGCUGAAAUUCUUUGCUGAUUUGACACAAUUUACAGGCAUCAAUGAAGAUAUUAUAAACUCAACACACAACCUCAAGGAGGACAUCAAUGACAAAUUGGUUAAUAAAUGUCAUCAAUUCAAAGCAUAUUUAACACUUAUGAUUCGUCACUGCACAAGAAAAUGUGAAAUGCCUGAAAUCUUAUUCUUUUUUUAAAUUAAUUAAUUAACUUUUUUAAAAAAGUAAUAAUAUCAAGCAUGAUAUGAAAUUAGAAAUGAAUUACAAGAAGAAAACUGGAAAAAACACAAACAUGUGGAGGCUCCACAACAUGCUACUAAACAACAAAUAGGUUAACAAAGAAAUCAAAGAGGGCUUCCCUGGUGGCGCAGUGGUUGCGCGUCCGCCUGCCGAUGCAGGGGAAC